rnacentral:rRNA from 1 species
AGCAGCCGCGGUAAUUCCAGCUCCAAUAGCGUAUAUUAAAGUUGUUGCAGUUAAAAAGCUCGUAGUUGAAUUUCGGGGUUCUACCGUCGGUCGGGCUACCAAGUCUGUACUGGUGUGUAGAAUUUCUACCUUCUGGGGAACCAUCAUGUUAUUAAUUUAGCGUGGUGGGAAACCAGGACCUUUACCUUGAAAAAAUUAGAGUGUUCAAAGCAGGCUUAUGUCUGAAUACAUUAGCAUGGAAUAAUAGAAUAGGACGGUGGUCCUGUUUUGUUGGUUUCUGAAUCACCGUAAUGAUUAAUAGGGAUAGUUGGGGGCAUUAGUAUUCAAUUGUCAGAGGUGAAAUUCUUGGAUUUAUUGAAGACUAACUUCUGCGAAAGCAUUUGCCAAGGAUGUUUU